rnacentral:rRNA from 1 species
UAGGGAAUCUUCCGCAAUGUACGCAAGUCUGACGGAGCAACGCCGCGUGAGUGAAGAAGGAUUUCGGUUCGUAAAACUCUGUUGUUAGAGAAGAACAGCGCAUAGAGUAACUGUUAUGCGUGUGACGGUAUCUAACCAGAAAGCCACGGCUAACUACGUGCCAGCAGCCGCGGUAAUACGUAGGUGGCAAGCGUUGUCCGGAUUUAUUGGGCGUAAAGUGAGCGCAGGCGGUCAAUUAAGUCUGAUGUGAAAGCCCCCGGCUCAACCGGGGAGGGUCAUUGGAAACGGGUUGACUUGAGUGCAGAAGAGGAGAGUGGAAUUCCAUGUGUAGCGGUGAAAUGCGUAGAUAUGUGGAGGAACAACAGUGGCGAAGGCGACUCUAUGGGCUGUCACUGACGCUGAGGCUCGAAAGCGUGGGUAGCAAACAGG